AUUGAACGCUGGCGGAAUGCUUUACACAUGCAAGUCGAGCGGCAGCACGGGGGCAACCCUGGUGGCGAGCGGCGAACGGGUGAGUAAUACAUCGGAACAUGCCCAGUCGUGGGGGAUAACACUUCGAAAGAAGUGCUAAUACCGCAUACGUCCUGAGGGGGAAAGCGGGGGAUCGCAAGACCUCGCGCGAUUGGAGUGGCCGAUGUCAGAUUAGCUAGUUGGUGGGGUAAAGGCCUACCAAGGCAACGAUCUGUAGCUGGUCUGAUAGGAUGAUCAGCCACACUGGGACUGAGACACGGCCCAGACUCCUACGGGAGGCAGCAGUGGGGAAUUUUGGACAAUGGGGGCAACCCUGAUCCAGCCAUUCCGCGUGAGUGAAGAAGGCCUUCGGGUUGUAAAGCUCUUUCGGCAGGAACGAAACGGUGAGCUCUAACAUAGCUUGCUAAUGACGGUACCUGAAGAAGAAGCACCGGCUAACUACGUG
rnacentral:rRNA from 1 species